rnacentral:rRNA from 1 species
CCUACGGGCGGCAGCAGUGGGGGAUAUUGCACCAUGGGGGAAACCCUGAUGCAGCGACGCCGCGUGGGUGAAGAAGCGCCUCGGCGCGUAAAGCCCUGUCAGCAGGGAAGAAAAUGACGGUACCUGAAGAAGAAGCCCCGGCUAACUACGUGCCAGCAGCCGCGGUAAUACGGAGGGGGCAAGCGUUAUCCGGCUGUACGGGGUGUAAAGGGGGCGCAGACGGCGAUGCAAGCCAGGAGUGAAAGCCCGGGGCCCAACCCCGGGACUGCUCUUGGAACUGCGUGGCUAGAGUGCAGGAGGGGCAGGCGGAAUUCCUGGUGUAGCGGUGAAAUGCGUAGAUAUCAGGAGGAACACCGGUGGCGAAGGCGGCCUGCUGGACUGCAACUGACGUUGAGGCCCGAAAGCGUGGGGAGCAAACAGGAUUAGAUACCCUUGUAGUC